CUUUCCCUCUUUUCCCUCUCUUCCCUGAAGCUCUCUCGCUCUUUCUCUCACUACUGCGUUGCCUCUGCCAUGCCCGAACAGUUGUCGUCCCAUCGCCGGAGCCGUACAUGCGCCAGCCUAGUCUAACCGUCGGCCCUCGAAAUGUCGACCCCCGCAAGCUCACCACGGUACGCGCCGCCUAGGGCUGUCAACCAACGGUCCGAAGCUGUCUGCCUCCUGCACUUUUUGGCAAGAUUCCGACUACCCCAAGCUUAACCACCAUCACCACCAUACUCCUCGUGGUCUAAGCUUCAAAGCCAACCCAAGGAUCGACCUCACUAGUGGUCGGAAAAAGAAAGGGUAUUCAUCGAAAUCCAUGGAGGUCCAAAGCUUCCAAGAGAAAAUCCGACCAUUCUAGGCCGUUCCAAGCUAAACCAUCACCACCACGAGACUCCCCGAGCUUUGGGCUUUGAAGCCCGGCCACUGCUUUCCCGAACCACCACCGUGGGGUGGUGGCGUCGCCACCUUCGCCGGAGCUCCGGUGAGGGUCUCGGCUAGCCUCCACUUUUGGUAGUUCCGACGUUCGUCUCGAGCUCCCAAUGUCACUUUCAAGCCCGUUGCACUAUCCUGAGCAUUAUGGUCGUGGUGAUGAGGGCGCUUAUAGUUGUACAGAGGGAUGGUUGAUUCAAAGCUGGUUUCUUUCAUGGCUUUGUUAAAUUUCCUUUUGAUUUUGGAAAAUGGAACAAUGAAUGUAAUGCUAAAUUUCUCAUAUAGUGUCGCUGAAGACUUUGCCUAGAAUUCGUAUGGAAUAUUAUGCUCAACCUGUUCUUCAUAUAUCUUGGAUGUCUCAUCUCAACAUAAUGUAAAAGGUUUCAAAAUAUUCUGAUGUGAGUCCUUGCUUGAAAAUCUGAUGGACAUUUCACAGCACUAUUAUGGAAUACAACAAGCUUCAUAGCACGAAUGUUAAGAUGGAAUACAACUUCAGCUGCUGCUUUGUAUUUAAUGGAAGAAUCUCAGUGCUAUGGUGACUUGUAUGAAGAAUCUCAGUGAUGGACUCAUAGUGUUCAGAUGUAUUUGAUAGCGUCAAAUUAGCCUGCAAGCAGUGUCAUAUGCAUGAAGAUAUGAACAUGGACUAGGCAUCUGAGAAAGUGUUUGUGGAGCUGGCUGCAUCAUGGGUCAAAACUAAAAAGGAGUUGGUGAGAUGAAAUAUAGUAUUAUGAUGGCUUUUGACUAUAUGAUCCAACUAUCUAAAAAUGAUCAUUGAGUUCUUUAGAAUCAAAUAAUGUAGUUCACUAACUUUGUAUACAUUCUUGUUUUGUAUUUGGUCAUGAUGGAUUUUGAAUUGAGUAUAAAUUAUCUUGUAAUAUGAUAUUGUAAGCCUACAAUGGUAUACUAAAUAGUUGUAAUUAUAUUUGAAUAAUUAAUAAAAGUUUAUUUAUGUUA